rnacentral:RNase_P_RNA from 3 species
CGGGCUGGCCGGGCGACCGCGUGGAGGCAACUCCCCGAGGAAGGUCCGGGCUCCACAGGGCAAGGUGGUGGGUAACACCCACCCGGGGCAACCUGCGGGACAGUGCCACAGAAAACAGACCGCCUCCCAGCGCUCCGCGCCGGGCGGUAAGGAUGAAACGGCGGUGUAAGAGACCACCAGCGGUCGGGGCGACCCGGCCGGCUAGGCAAACCCCACCUGGAGCAAGAUCAAGAAGUUCGGAGCCCCCAGGCCCCGAACGCGCGUACGUCCGAGGGCUGCCCGCCCGAGUACGCGGGUAGAUCGCUGGAGGCGGCCGGCAACGGUCGUCGUAGAUGGAUGGUCGCCACGCUUCGGCGUACAGAACCCGGCCUACAGGCCAGCCCGUCGC